rnacentral:rRNA from 1 species
UGGGGAAUCUUGCGCAAUGGGCGAAAGCCUGACGCAGCCACGCCGCGUGAGUGAUGAAGGCCUUAGGGUUGUAAAGCUCUUUUACCAGGGAUGAUAAUGACAGUACCUGGAGAAUAAGCUCCGGCUAACUCCGUGCCAGCAGCCGCGGUAAUACGGAGGGAGCUAGCGUUGUUCGGAAUUACUGGGCGUAAAGCGCACGUAGGCGGCGAUUCAAGUCAGAGGUGAAAGCCCGGGGCUCAACCCCGGAACUGCCUUUGAAACUAGAUUGCUAGAAUCCUGGAGAGGUGAGUGGAAUUCCGAGUGUAGAGGUGAAAUUCGUAGAUAUUCGGAAGAACACCAGUGGCGAAGGCGACUCACUGGACAGGUAUUGACGCUGAGGUGCGAAAAGCGUGGGGAGCAAACAGGAUUAGAUACCCUGGUAGUCCACGCCGUAAACGAUGAUAACUAGCUGUCCGGGCUCAUAGAGCUUGGGUGGCGCAGCUAACGCAUUAAGUUAUCCGCCUGGGGAGUACGGUCGCAAGAUUAAAAACUU